UACGAGAGGCCCAAACGUUAUUCGGAAUUACUGGGCUUAAAGAGUUCGUAGGCGGCGCGGAAAGUAGGGUGUGAAAGCCCUCGGCUCAACCGAGGAAUUGCGCUCUAAACUGCCGUGCUUGAGGGAGCUAGAGGUAAGCGGAACUGAUGGUGGAGCGGUGAAAUGCGUUGAUAUCAUCAGGAACACCGGAGGCGAAGGCGGCUUACUGGGGGUCUUCUGACGCUGAGGAACGAAAGCCAGGGGAGCGAACGGG
rnacentral:rRNA from 1 species